rnacentral:rRNA from 1 species
AUGUCCUUUUGUUUAUAAAUAUAAGGUCUAACCUGCCCAAUGAUUUAAUUUAAUGGCCGCGGUAUAUUAACUGUGCUAAGGUAGCAUAAUCAUUUGUCUUUUAAUUAAAGGCUAGAAUGAAUGGUUGGACGAGGUAUAAUCUUUCUUUAAUUUAAUUUAUGAACUUAAUUUUUUAGUUAAAAAGCUAAAAUUUAUUUGAGGGACGAGAAGACCCUAUAGAUCUUUAUAUUUAUUAUUUGUUAUAUAUUUUGGUUAAUUAUAUAUUUUAAUGGUAGUACAUAUUUGAUUGGGGUGAUUGUAGAAUUUAAAUUAACUUCUAUUUUUAUUUUUCAUUAAUUAAUGUUUAUUUGAUCCAUUUUUAUUGAUUACAAGAUUAAGUUACCUUAGGGAUAACAGCGUAAUCCUUUCGGAGAGCUCAUAUCGAUGAAAGGGCUUGCGACCUCGAUGUUGGAUUAAAAUAAGUCUUAGGUGUAGGAGCUUAAGAACUAGGUCUGUUCGACCUUUAAUUUUUUACAUGAUCUGAG